rnacentral:rRNA from 2 species
CCGACGUUCUUAUGUUUUAAUUUGAACCCCCGCGCUCCCGUGGAGGGUCAUUGGAAACUGGGAAACUUGAGUACAGAAGAGGAAAGUGGAAUUCCAUGUGUAGCGGUGAAAUGCGCAGAGAUAUGGAGGAACACCAGUGGCGAAGGCGACUUUCUGGUCUGUAACUGACGCUGAUGUGCGAAAGCGUGGGGAUCAAACAGGAUUAGAUACCCUGGUAGUCCACGCCGUAAACGAUGAGUGCUAAGUGUUAGGGGGUUUCCGCCCCUUAGUGCUGCAGCUAACGCAUUAAGCACUCCGCCUGGGGAGUACGACCGCAAGGUUGAAACUCAAAGGAAUUGACGGGGACCCGCACAAGCGGUGGAGCAUGUGGUUUAAUUAGAAGCAACGCGAAGAACCUUACCAAAUCUUGACUUGUUAUGGAAACUGUAGAGAUAGAGCCUUCCCCUUCGGGGGACAAAAGGACAGGAGGGGAAUGUGGGGUCAGGUGUUGAAGGGU